rnacentral:rRNA from 1 species
UACGUAGGGUGCGAGCGUUGUCCGGAAUUAUUGGGCGUAAAGAGCUCGUAGGCGGUGUGUCGCGUCGGCCGUGAAAACCUGGGGCUUAACUCUGGGCGUGCGGUCGAUACGGGCAUCACUGGAGUUCGGCAGGGGAGACUGGAAUUCCUGGUGUAGCGGUGAAAUGCGCAGAUAUCAGGAGGAACACCGGUGGCGAAGGCGGGUCUCUGGGCCGAUACUGACGCUGAGGAGCGAAAGCAUGGGUAGCGAACAGA